UACGAAGGGGGCUAGCGUUGCUCGGAUUGACUGGGCGUAAAGGGCGCGUAGGCGGCUCGUACAGUCAGACGUGAAAUUCCUGGGCUCAACUUGGGGGCUGCGUUUGAUACGUAUGGGCUUGAGUUCGGAAGAGGGUCGUGGAAUUCCCAGUGUAGAGGUGAAAUUCGUAGAUAUUGGGAAGAACACCGGUGGCGAAGGCGGCGACCUGGUCCGAUACUGACGCUGAGGCGCGAAAGCGUGGGGAGCAAACAGG
rnacentral:rRNA from 1 species